CCGGGACAAAGUUGCGGGGAAGUACAGAUCAGGCUUGUGUUAUUAAAAAAUAUCCGAAACUUAGAACAUCCCACAGAGCACCAUUAAACCCAUUAUUUAAAAAUGGAGAGAAUAUGGCACCACAACAAACCUGCCAAGAGAGGGACACCCACCAAAACUCACAGACCAGGCAAGGAGGGCAUUAAUCAGAGAGGCAACAAAGAGCCCAACGAGAACCCUGAAGUGUUAAUGUUUUUAAAGGUCUUUCUGUAACCAGGGGUCCUCUGAGGCUGCGGGUACACAGUGGGGGAGCUGGUGCAGUGGGCUGACCUCAGUGCCUCUCUCCAACAUCCUGAGCCACAAUCUGAUCUUCACCACCUCCCAGAACCACCUGCACAGCGCGCCGACAACUCAGGGAUGACCUGGAGGACGAGGCACAGGGCGAUCCGGAUAGAGACGCCGACGCCGCCUUGAUGUCCAGAGGGGGCGGAGGAACCUCCCCCACCUCAGACUCCUGGAGUGGACCAGCCACCACCGGCCUGAGGAGAGACGCAUGGAAUGAGGGGUUAAUACGGUAAUCUGGUUGAAGCUGUAACCUGUAGCAAACCUCGUUCAGUCUCCUCAGGACUUUGAAUAGCCCCACAAACCGCGGGUCCAGCUUCCAGCAGGGUAGGCGGAGGGGCAGGUUUCGGGUCGAGAGCCAGACCCAGUCCCCCGGUACAAACACCGGGGCCUCACUGUGGUGGCGGUCUGUGCUCGCUUUCUGACGCCUCACGCCUGCUGAAGAUGCAAAUGAGCGGGUCCAAUGUCUCCUCUGAGCGCCUAAACCAGUCGUUAAUGACAUGACUAAAUAUUCAUAAUGCCCUGAGGUGGUACUUAAUGCUGUCUUCCACUAGUCUCCCUCUCGGAUAUGCACCAGGUUAUACGCACUCCUGAGAUCCAGUUUCGUGAAGAAGCGCGCCCCAUGCAUUGACUCAAUCGCCAUGGCGAUAAGAGGUAGCGGGUAACUGUACCUCACCAUGAUUUGAUUGAGACCUCUAUAGACAAUGCACGGGCAUAGACCUCCAUCCUUCUUCUUCACAAAAAAGAAACUUGAGGAGGCGGGUGAAGUAGAGGACCAAAUGUACCCCUGACACAGGGAUUCGGAGACAUAUGUCUCCGCCUCCGUCUCCGCUUGCAACAGGGGAUUACACGUGACUCCUGGGAAGCGCAGCGUCUGCCAGGAGAUUUAUCGCACAUGAAAAAUCAUGGAAACAAACAGAUACAAACCGGUGGUCAACAGAGAACUCUGGAUGAGUGUGGUGCGAACUCGCCUGGGGUGACCCCAGAGUGCCCUGCCUGUUGCCUCGACUCCCAGAGGAACCCACAGGGCACCGACCGGCAGUGUGCCCUCUGCGGCCACAGAUGGUGCACGUGAUGGC